rnacentral:rRNA from 1 species
GGCGAACGCUGGCCGCAGGCCUAACACAUGCAAGUCGAACGAACCUUUCGGGGUUAGUGGCGUACGGGUGAGUAACACGUGGGAACGUGCCUUUAGGUUCGGAAUAACUCAGGGAAACUUGUGCUAAUACCGAAUGUGCCCUUCGGGGGAAAGAUUUAUCGCCUUUAGAGCGGCCCGCGUCUGAUUAGCUAGUUGGUUGAGGUAAUGGCUCACCAAGGCGACGAUCAGUAGCUGGUCUGAGAGGAUGAUCAGCCACAUUGGGACUGAGACACGGCCCAAACUCCUACGGGAGGCAGCAGGGGGGAAUCUGACGCAAUGGGCGAGAGCCUAACGCAGCCAUGCCGCGUGAAGGAUGAAGGUCUUAGGAUUGUAAAAUUCUUUCACCGGGGACGAUAAUGACGGUACCCGGAGAAGAAGCCCCGGCUAACUUCGUG